CUUUUGCUCGGCCGGCCGCUUGUACAAGUUGGCUUGGAAAUGCCCUCCUCGCUGAUGUGCCGCAUCUGCCUCCGCCACCGCCGCUCCUCCUCCACCACCUCACUGACGUGUCGCCUCCGCCUACUCCGGCGCCGCUCCUCCUCCACCUCCACCUCCACCUCCCCGCGCCCACGCCCCUGGUCUCCCCACGCCGCCUUUGCCGCUGCCACACAGCGGGUCAGCGCUGGGACGUUCAGCCCGGAACACGCACACCAACUGUUCGACGAAUUGCUACGGCAGGGCACUCCGGUCCCCGAUUUCUCGCUGGACGGCUUCCUUGCCGCUCUCGCCCGUGCUACGUCAUCGGCGGCCUGCAGAGAUGGCCCCGCCCUCGCGCUCGCCCUCUUCAACCGCUUAUGCCGAGAAGAAGCUGGCCCGCGGGUGGCGCAGCCCACAAUCUUCACCUACGGCGUCCUCAUGAACUGAUGCGUCCGCACUCGUCCGCACUCGGGCUUGUUUUCUUCGGCCGUCUCCUCAGGAGGGGCCUGAAGACAAACACGAUUGUCUUCAGCUCCCUCCUCAAGUGCCUCUGUCACGCCAAACGGACAGACGAGGCUGUCAGCGUGCUGCUUCAUAGGAUGUCUGAGCUUGGUUGUGUGCCUGAUGCCUUCUCAUACACCAUUGUUCUUAAGAGCUUAUGUGAUGGUAGCAGCAGCCAGCGGGCGCUCGACCUGCUCCAGAUGAUGGAGAAAGGAGAAGGUGUCUGCUCUCCCCUGGCGUGGUGUUAUAUACCACGGUCAUCCACGGCCUCCUUAAGGAAGGGGAAGUAAGCAAGGCAUGCAGUCUGUUCGAUGAAAUGGUGCAGCAAGGGGUUGUGCCUAAUGUGGUGACAUACAACUCGAUUAUUGAUGCGCUGUGCAAGGCUGGAGCGAUGGACAAGACAGAGUUGGUCCUUUCGGCAGAUGGUUGAUAGUGGCAUCUAACCGGAUAACGUGACAUAUACUAGCAUGAUACACGGAUAUUCCACGUUGGGCCGGUGGAAAGAAACGGGCAAAAUGUUCAGAGAAAUGACAAGCCGGGGUAUCAUACCAGAUGUUGUUGGUUGGACCUCAUUCAUGACCUCCCUCUGCAAGCAUGGAAGAAGCAGAGAAGCUACCGGAAUUAUUGAUUACAUGUCUGCCAAGGGCCACAAGCCUAAUAUUGUCUCGUACUCUAUUCUGUUUCAUGGAUAUGCUACAGAAGGAUGCUUUGAUGAUAUGAUUAAUCUCCUUGACUCAAUGGCAACCAACGGUAUUGUUCCCAAUCGCCAGAUUUUCAGCAUUUUAGUUGAUGCGUAUGCUAAACGUGGAAUGAUGGAUGAAGCUAUGCUCAUAUUUACUGGAAUGUGGGAACAAGGAGUGAUCCCAGAUGUAUCCAGAUGAGGACAAGGAGUGAGUUCAGAGUCUACAAUUUUUAGGCUGGCUGAUGCUUUGAACAAGUUCAGUCAGAUGAUUUCUAUUGAUAUAAAACCGGACACAGUUGUUUAUCACUCCCUAAUUCAGGGUUUCUGCACACAUGGCGAUUUGGUGAAAGCAAAGGAGUUGGUUUAUGAAAUGAUAAACAAAUACAUUCCACCUCCUACCGUUGUGUUCUUCAGUUCAAUAAUAAAUAGUCUAUGCAAAGAAGGAAGGGUUACAGAUGCACAAGAUAUCUUCAACUUGGUUGUUGAAAUAGGUGAGAGUCCUGAUGUCUUUGCUUUUACUUCACUACUUGACAGAUAUUGCCUAGUCGGCAAAAUGGAGAAAGCAUCACAAGUGUUUGAUGCAAUGGUAUCAACUGGCAUUGAGCCUAAUGCAUCCACCUAAAGUGUAAUGAUAACAAAUCUUUUGAAAGAAGGAUCAGUGGAAGAAGCUGAAAGUUUGUUCUCGUCAAUGGAGAAGAGCGGUUGUGCUCCGGACUCUCGUCUUAUAAAUGAUAUCAACAGAAUAUUAUUGGAAAAAGGUGAAAUUGUCAAGGCUGGAGAUUAUAUGUCUAAAGUUGAUGGCAAGGCCAUCUCACUUGAAGCUUCGACUACUUCAUUAUUGAAAUGUCUCUUUUCAAGCAAAGGGAAAUAUCCGGAACAAAUAAAUUUGCUCCCUGUAAAGUACCAGUUUUUCAAUGGAGUCAGUUGAUGCCCCGGACUCAGAUGACACACAUUGGCAUGGUUUGGAGCUCCCUCUCAACGAUGUCGACAUGAGUUCUCUUCCUACAGACAUGAACAUCAAUACUCACCAAGAUCGAGCUGGGUGUUUGGUGCCACCACGGUGUUUUAGCCCAAUGCGUGUGGCUGCUGGGCGUGCAUCAUAUGGACAUUGCCCAUAAUUUGUGCGCCAUUUCGACUCUCAAGGGAAAUAUCAUGAACAAAUUAAACCGCUCUGAAAACUACCGAUUUUUCAAUGUACUCGGUUGAUGCACUGGACUCAGUAGAUAGACGUUGGUUUGGUCUGGAGCUCCCUCUCAAUGAUGUCAACAUGUGUCCUCUUCUAUGCGCUCACCAAAAUCAAGCUGGGUGAUGGUGUCACCAUGGUGUUCUGGUCUGAUGCGUGGACUUUGCCCCUAAUCUCCACGCCAUUUCCGCGUGCAAGGUUUGUAUCCCACCUUCCUCUUAGGAAUAGGCUUGGGGUGCUAGUGGGUUCUACGACCUUUACAUAACAUAUAUAAGCAUAUGCCAUAGUGAGUUCUGUAACCUUUUGGAUCGAGGACGGGUUAUAAGGCCUUGAAAUUGAGCCAUGUCACCUUUAUGGGACAAGAGUGCCAUUUGAAGUUUCUAGUUUUUGUAUGACAAUUCAGCCCUAAUGUGGCAAAAGUCAGGGGUUAUACCAUUGCAGCUUUUUGCAUCGUGUUGGUUCCACUAGAGGUCUUUUCCCUGAUCAUUGGCUUUGCCUGUUGAUCAAACAUAGCUUAACUGUCAGAUAGCAAUCUUGCCGCAAGCAUAUUUUUCAGAUAACCUCCAACUAUCCCUUUCAACGCCAAUGGUCGAGCAGAGGCUUCCUCCAGUAGGCACAUUGCUGCCAUGACCACAGCCUGGAUGAAAUCUCCAGUAGCCUGACCUCUAGGAAGAGGGUCGUACUAGGUACCCCGCCUUUUCCCUGAUCGUUGGCGUUGCCUGUUGAUCAAACAUAGCUUUUAACUGUCAGAAAGAAAUCUUGCCGCGAGCAUAUUUUUCAGAUAACCUCCAACUAUUGAUUUUACGCAGGGAAAUAUAUUCUGAGCAUUUAUGGCAAUCAAGCACAUUUGUAACCAGAAGGUCCAUAGCCAGUUAAUUAAGAUUUGAUCACUUGCUAGUCUAGUGAAAUCGACAGUUCUUCUUCCCGUGAUCAACUCAAGUUGAAAAACCAUGGAACUGCACAUGUCUGUCUUGGUAGUAAGCUAUCUAAUGUAUUCUGGAGCGCAUUUCCCAUGACCUGAGUUAGUGAAUUCAGAUGUGUGUCUUUUCCCGACAGGUGCCAAGAUGUGCAAGCCUGAAGACUUGGAUUCAAUAGUUGUGUGGGACAUCCUCAUUCUUAUACACCAGCUGAGUGGUAUUUGAUCAGAAGUGUUAUCUCAUAUGACAACAACUCAACUUAUAACCUCCUGAUGAUGACAAUAUUGAAAAUAAUGCUGUAAUGUUGUCUGAAUAUCUCAGUUUUUUGGGCCGAACAUGACGUGCUGGAAUCCAUAGAUCUUUCUGUUAAUUUAUUAUGAUGUUGAUACUGA